UAUAAGGAAAAGCAAACUUCUGUGGGCCUCAUGCAAGUGGAACUUAGCCAACCCAGAAUGAACUCUUACCCACCAGAACAAGCAAACGCCGCACCGACUCUUGCUAUACAAGGCCAGGGAAGAGCAAGCAAUUACUCAGCAUCUGAGAUGUCUGUUCAGGCUUUGUUGUGGAUCAUGCAACAGGAACUAUCAGUAAUCUCCUGGAAGGCCACAGCCCACUUGCAGGGCUGACAAAUCUUCAGUUC
rnacentral:lncRNA from 1 species